UACGUAGGGGGCAAGCGUUGUCCGGAAUCAUUGGGCGUAAAGCGCGUGUAGGCGGCUCGAUAAGUCCGCUGUGAAAGUCCAGGGCUCAACCCUGGGAUGCCGGUGGAUACUGUCUGGCUAGAGUCCGGAAGAGGCGAGUGGAAUUCCUGGUGUAGCGGUGAAAUGCGCAGAUAUCAGGAGGAACACCAAUGGCGAAGGCAGCUCGCUGGGACGUGACUGACGCUGAGACGCGAAAGCGUGGGGAGCAAACAGG
rnacentral:rRNA from 1 species